AUGGGGGAAAUAUUACUUGGUCAAUACAAAGGGGAGCUUCCGAUUGUCAUUAUUAGACCCACCAUGGUCACAAGCACUUUUCAAGAUCCAUUUCCUGGAUGGAUUGAAGGAACGAGGACAAUUGACGCUCUGAUUGUCGCCUACGAUGAGCAAGCACUGCCAUGUUUUCUAGGUGAUCGUAAUGACAUAAUUGAUUUGAUUCCUGCCGACAUGGUAAUAAAUGCUGCAUUGGUAGCAAUGGCAGUUCACUGGAAUGGAAAAUUGCAGGUCAUUUACCAUGUGAGCUCACCGUGCCAGAACCCACUUUCAGUUAAUGAUUUUGUGGACUCAUGCUUCGAUUACUUCUCCAUUAGUCCUCGUAUAUUAAAUGGGAGGGUCCUCCAAACAAGAAGACCAUACUUGUUCAAGAGAUAUGCUUUCUUCCGUGUUUGUCUUAUGAUCAUAUUUUCGCUACCACUAAUGAUUUUGGAAGGAUUCAAUUUGUUAUUAUGUGGGUGUUUUUCCCGAUAUUGCAAUGACCUCAACCGGAGAUACAAUUUCUUCACACUCCUUGUGAAGUUGUAUGCACCAUAUCCAUUCUCUAAAGGACGCUUCGACGACAGCAACUUAACAUGGCUAAGGAUGGAAACAAAGAUAUGCAAUGUUGAUGGUGGAAACCUUAAUUUUGAUCCCAAGCAGAUUAGUUGGCACUCAUAUCUCAUUAGUGUCCAUGUCCCUGCCGUCCUGAAGUACGCUCACAUGAAGAAGGGAACCACAUUGCGCAGAACAUCCUACUCCUACUCACAAUAA
rnacentral:rRNA from 1 species